rnacentral:rRNA from 1 species
UACGUAGGGGGCAAGCGUUGUCCGGAUUUAUUGGGCGUAAAGAGCGUGUAGGCGGCCAGACAGGUCCGUUGUGAAAGCUCGAGGCUCAACCUCGAGACGCCGAUGGAAACCGUCUGGCUAGAGUCCGGAAGAGGAGAGUGGAAUUCCUGGUGUAGCGGUGAAAUGCGCAGAUAUCAGGAAGAACACCCGUGGCUAAGGCGGCUCUCUAGUACGGUACUGACGCUGAGACGCGAAAGCGUGGGGAGCGAACAGG